GAAAGCAAGAUUAAUACCCGAUGUUCUCACUGUUCCGCAUGUUACGGUGAGCAAAGAAUUUCGGUAUGCGAAGGCGAUGCGUUCCAUUAGUUAGUUGGCGGGGUAACGGCCCACCAAGCCUCCGAGGGUAGGGGUUGGAGAGGAAGGUCCCCCACACUGGAACUGAGACACGGUCCAGACUCCUACGGGAGGCAGCAGUGAGAAAUAUUGGUCAAUGGACGCAAGUCUGAACCAGCCAAGUAGCGUGCAGGAUGACGGCCCUCCGGGUUGUAAACUGCUUUUAGUUGGGAAUAAAAGGGGGCUCGUGAGCCCCGUAUUGUAUGUACCAUCAGAAAAAGGACCGGCUAAUUCCGUGCCAGCAGCCGCGGUAAUACGGAAGGUCCGGGCGUUAUCCGGAUUUAUUGGGUUUAAAGGGAGCGUAGGCCGGCUUUUAAGUCAGCUGUGAAAGUCCGCGGCUCAACCGUGGAAUUGCAGUUGAAACUGGAGGCCUUGAGUGCACACAGGGAUGCCGGAAUUCAUGGUGUAGCGGUGAAAUGCUUAGAUAUCAUGAAGAACUCCGAUCGCGAAGGCAAGUGUCCGGGGUGCAACUGACGCUGAGGCUCGAAAGUGCGGGUAUCAAACAGGAUUAGAUACCCUGGUAGUCCGCACCGUAAAC
rnacentral:rRNA from 1 species